rnacentral:rRNA from 1 species
GACGAACGCUGGCGGCGUGCUUAACACAUGCAAGUCGAGCGAUGAAAUCCCUUCGGGGAUGGAUUAGUGGCGGACGGGCGAGUAACACGUGGGUAACCUGCCUCAUAGAGGGGAAUAGCCUUCCGAAAGGAAGAUUAAUACCGCAUAAGAUUGUAGUACCGCAUGGUAUAGCAAUUAAAGGAGCAAUCCGCUAUGAGAUGGACCCGCGGCGCAUUAGCUAGUUGGGGAGGUAACGGCUCACCAAGGCGACGAUGCGUAGCCGACCUGAGAGGGUGAUCGGCCACAUUGGGACUGAGACACGGCCCAGACUCCUACGGGAGGCAGCAGUGGGGAAUAUUGCACAAUGGGGGAAACCCUGAUGCAGCAACGCCGCGUGAGUGAUGACGGUCUUCGGAUUGUAAAGCUCUGUCUUCAGGGACGAUAAUGACGGUACCUGAGGAGGAAGCCACGGCUAACUACGUGCCAGCCGCCGCGGUAACAC